CUCUUGCUAUGAUGAAUCAUGAAAAAAUUCACAUGUCAGACUUCAGAGAUUUUAUGUAAAAUCUAUGAGAAUAAAUAUUCAUGUUUUCUGAGCAGUUU